rnacentral:rRNA from 1 species
AGAGUUUGAUUCUGGCUCAGGAUGAACGCUAGCGACAGGCUUAACACAUGCAAGUCGAGGGGCAGCGGGGCGGCAGGCUUGCCUGCCGUUGCCGGCGACCGGCGCACGGGUGAGUAACACGUAUGCAACCUGCCCGUGGCAGGGGGAUAAGCGGGGGAAACCCCGUCUAAUACCGCGUAACGCGGCCUAGGGACAUCCCAAGGCCGCCAAAGGGAGCAAUCCCGGCCACGGAUGGGCAUGCGGCGCAUUAGCUAGUCGGCGGGGUAACGGCCCACCGAGGCGACGAUGCGUAGGGGUUCUGAGAGGAAGGCCCCCCACACUGGUACUGAGACACGGACCAGACUCCUACGGGAGGCAGCAGUGAGGAAUAUUGGUCAAUGGGCGCGAGCCUGAACCAGCCAAGUCGCGUGAGGGAGGACGGCCCUACGGGUUGUAAACCUCUUUUGCCGGGGAGCAACGGGCGCCACGUGUGGCGCCACUGAGAGUACCCGGAGAAAAAGCAUCGGCUAACUCCGUGCCAGCAGCCGCGGUAAUACGGAGGAUGCGAGCGUUAUCCGGAUUUAUUGG